AUCAUGAUACUUGUGCGCAGUCGAGAUUAGGUUCCAGAGCGUACCCCUGCCGCGUGGGCAGGGUGGUGAGAUCCCAAUGU
rfam:Catabacter hongkongensis strain HKT16 2806ref_2ab_c16, whole genome shotgun sequence.